rnacentral:rRNA from 1 species
UACGAAGGGGGCUAGCGUUGCUCGGAAUCACUGGGCGUAAAGCGCACGUAGGCGGAUUGUUAAGUCAGGGGUGAAAUCCUGGAGCUCAACUCCAGAACUGCCUUUGAUACUGGGAAGCUCGAGUCCGGGAGAGGUGAGUGGAACUCCGAGUGUAGAGGUGAAAUUCGUAGAUAUUCGGAAGAACACCAGUGGCGAAGGCGGCUCACUGGCCCGGUACUGACGCUGAGGUGCGAAAGCGUGGGGAGCAAACAGG